rnacentral:rRNA from 1 species
GUGGGGAAUAUUGGGCAAUGGAGGCAACUCUGACCCAGCAACGCCGCGUGAAUGAAGAAGGUCUUCGGAUUGUAAAGUUCUUUAGCGAGGGACGAAAAGAAUGACGGUACCUCGAGAAUAAGCCACGACUAACUACGUGCCAGCAGUCGCGGUAAUACGUAGGUGGCGAGCGUUGUCCGGAAUGACUGGGCGUAAAGGGAGCGUAGGCGGCACAACAAGUUAGGAGUGAAAUACCGUGGCUUAACCACGGAACUGCUUUUAAAACUGUUGAGCUAGAGUGAUGGAGAGGAAAGCGGAAUUCCUAGUGUAGCGGUGGAAUGCGUAGAUAUUAGGAGGAACACCAGAGGCGAAGGCGGCUUUCUGGACAUUAACUGACGCUGAGGCUCGAAAGCGUGGGGAGCAAACAGGAUUAGAAACCCGAGUAGUCC